rnacentral:rRNA from 1 species
AUUGAACGCUGGCGGCAUGCCUUACACAUGCAAGUCGAGCGGCAGCGCGGGGGCAACCCUGCGGCGAGCGGCGAACGGGUGAGUAAUGCAUCGGAACGUGUCCUCUUGUGGGGGAUAACCAGUCGAAAGACUGGCUAAUACCGCAUGAGAUCGAGAGAUGAAAGCGGGGGACCGCAAGGCCUCGCGCGAGAGGAGCGGCCGAUGCCCGAUUAGCUAGUUGGUGGGGUAAUGGCCUACCAAGGCGACGAUCGGUAGCUGGUCUGAGAGGACGACCAGCCACACUGGGACUGAGACACGGCCCAGACUCCUACGGGAGGCAGCAGUGGGGAAUUUUGGACAAUGGGGGCAACCCUGAUGCAGCGACGCCGCGUGAGCGAUGAA